rnacentral:lncRNA from 1 species
AAUUAUUUGCUUUCCAUUAUUUUUCUCAUUAUUAGUUUACUAUAAUCAAUCUCAAACCCCCCUGUUAUUUUGUUGACAGUUUUGAUCCCAAUUUUCAGUUUAUCUCAUUUGAUCCCACUUUUAGUCUUUUAUCUCAUUUUUAAUUUAUUAUCGUUCCAGUUUAUUUUAUUGGUCAUAGAAAGAGAAAUAGGUGAGUUCUCAAUUCUCUGUGGAUUCGAUCCUUUCACCACUAUCUGCAGUUGUAAAUUGUUGAUAACCAGAAAGGUUAUUUUUGACCGGUUUCGACAACCGCGAGUCA